UUCCUGCCCCCCUCCAGUGUGGACCUGCAGCAGGAGAAGGUCACACUCAUGUGUGUGGCCUAUAAGGGCUUCCCCUCGGACUGGAGGCUGAGCUGGAAGGUUGAUGGGAGCAGCUUGAGCUCGGGGGAGAGCCACAGCACCGCCGUUCUGCACGCGGACGGCCUCUACAGCUGGAGCAGCACGCUGAGCAUCCACCCGGAGCAGUGGAGGAACAAGGUGGUGACCUGUGAGGCCUCCAAUGACAACCAACCUCCUGUGGUGAGCUCAGUGGACAGAGAGCAGUGCUAAGAGCUGUGAGCUCACACACACUUUACUCAGCUCACCUUCUACUGCUUCACUGUGUGUUACAU